UACGUAGGGUGCAAGCGUUGUCCGGAAUUAUUGGGCGUAAAGAGCUCGUAGGCGGUUUGUCGCGUCUGCUGUGAAAACUCGGGGCUUAACCCCGGGCCUGCAGUGGGUACGGGCAGACUAGAGUGCGGUAGGGGAGACUGGAAUUCCUGGUGUAGCGGUGAAAUGCGCAGAUAUCAGGAGGAACACCGGUGGCGAAGGCGGCAUCCUGGACCAUGACUGACGCUGAGGAGCGAAAGCCAGGGGAGCAAACGGG
rnacentral:rRNA from 1 species